rnacentral:rRNA from 1 species
AGGAGCAGGUAUCAAGCACACAACAGUAGCUAAAAACGCCUCGCUUAGCCACGCCCCCACGGGACACAGCAGUAAUAAAAAUUGAGCAAUAAACGAAAGUUUGACUAAGUCAUACAAACCAAGGGUUGGCCAAUUUCGUGCCAGCCGCCGCGGUCACACGAAUAACCCAAAUUAAUAAACUUCGGUGUAAAGCGUGCUGGGGAAGUAAAAACCUAAAUAAAGUUAACUUCUUCUUAUGUCGUAAAAAACCUAAAGAAGCUAAGAACCCACUUACGAAAGUAACUUUAUAAAAAUCUAAUGCACGACAGCUAAGAAACAAACUGGGAUUAGAUACCCCACUAUGCCUAGCCUUAAACCAAGAUAUUUUAAAACAAAAAUAUCCACCAGAGAACUACUAGCAAAAGCUUAAAACUUAAAGGACUUGGCGGUGCUUCACACCCAACUAGAGGAGCCUGUUAUAUAAUCGAUAAUCCACGAUAUACCUCACCAUUACUUGCCAACUCAGUCUAUAUACCGCCAUCUUCAGCAAACCCUAAAAAGGGAGAAUAGUAAGCUAAAUCACUAGCCAUAAAAACGUUAGGUCAAGGUGUAACCAAUGUAAUGGGAAUAAAUGGGCUACAUUUUCUAUUUAAGAAAAUUACGAAUAUAUACAAUGAAAAACUAAUAGAAGGAGGAUUUAGUAGUAAAUUAAGAACAGAGAGCCUAAUUGAAUAACGGCCAUGAAGCACGCACACACCGCCCGUCACCCUCCUCAGAGUAUAGUUGACAUCAUAUACACCAAAUAACGAAUAACCAUAUAUGUAGAGGAGACAAGUCGUAACAAGGUAAGUAUACUGGAAAGUGUGCUUGGAAAAC